AGCUACCCAGAGUGAUCUGGGGCUGAUCCCGACCAGCCUGAGAGAGACAGAGGCCAGGCCGCUGUCAGAGAUAACCACGGCUGUUGGAAGGGAAGGCUGGGGAAAAUAUUUUCGUAAAGAAUCCUGGGAAUCCCAGCUCCAGUUGGGGGCAAGUCGGGAGCAGGAAUGGAAAUUGGCAGGCGGAAUUAACCCCAAGGAGACGAUCCUGUGGCUGGAAAUUGCGCGUGCCUCCCUCACACCUGCCGUUCACCCACAGGAUGGAAAAGCGAGGGGGAGAAUUCCAUCGGGCAAACAUGCAGGGGUCCAGAGCCUCUCCUCCCUCUGCCCCUCGCCCACAGGCCAUCGGCGCACAAUUCUGGGGGUGGGGGUUGUGACGGGGGGGGGGUGGUGAACGGUGCUCUGUGAGGCCUCUGAUGAUCUUUGCGCUCUGAACGGAUGAGUGAACAGCACAGGACACAGAGAGGGGGUCGAGGGUCUCCCGCCCAGCGUGGCCGAGAAUGCAGCUUGUAGGAACCCCGCAGUAAUUCUCGGGGUCCCUAAAAAAACAACGUUUAUUCCCACCCACAGGGGAAGACGUCUUGCAAUUAGAAGGAAAUGGUAACCCCCCAACUGUAAGGACAACAUUUCUGAGUUCCCCAAAAGGGGUGUUGUAAAGCUAACGUAUUUCUUUUUCCCCCCCGGAGAUGACCCAAAAACAUGAGUUCCCUGUAGGCGGAACCUUCCACGGAAGGUGAACUUUGCCCAGAAAGGGAACAGAAAGGGAAGGGUAUUUCUGGAAGUGGGAGCGCUGGGGCGGAGGGACAGGAGGACGCCCACUCUGCUCGUGCAGAGACGGACAGGUGCUAGCCUGGAGCCCUUUCUUGGCUUAGCUGUGGCUGUCUCCACUGCAAUUAUUUUAGGUUCUCCCAGCUAUUUUAAAUAUGCCAUAUAAUGCUGACCAAGUAAAUGUAGCAGCACAUUCCCCCAGGUUUUAAGAUUGAUGAAAACGGGGACGACGCGGCAUCAUACUGGUACAACGGACUUUUUAUUGUAGUUGUUGUUUAAGUGCAAAGGAAGGCUGGUGGUACCUGAUAAAUAGAAAAGGCAAGAGUCUACUAUGGACCAGGAGCGGAAAACCACGGACGCUUCUGAGAGUAAUUAAUCCCCACUGCACAGUCUCCUGUGCAGAGUUUGGAGGAAAAACUCUUCAGCAGAGUUUGGAGGAAAAGCCUUCAUUUGGAGCAAAUAGGGACCAAGGAGGCCUCACACAUAAAUGGCGCACCUGGAUCCCUGACAGACUUCAGGGAAUUUUGGAAUAAGCAUCUGAAACAAAGAUUACAGAACAAUUGAUGUGCAAGACCCUUGGUUAAAACAACUGAAGAAAAUUCGGAAAAGCGAUUAUCUCUAAAUAGGUCAUUUGCACAGCAAAGAAACGUACUGCUCACUGAACUGAGCUGAACUCAUUGAGUUCAUUGACUCUUGCCUUUAUUUCGAGAAACAAAGAAUUUAUCCAGGAAAGCAAUUAAACUCUGGCCUAUUUAAAGAAACCUGUUGCUCUUUUGUAAACCGGACUAGAAUUUCUUUGCAUAGGAUGUAAAUGUUAAGGGAGCUUGGACAAUCGCCUCUUUGUGGCUACGUCACGUUGUCACGUAGAAACAGUCACUUACUGUGACUACUGUGUACGUCAGAGCUGGACAAGAAGGAUAAAACGAUGAUUUCUAAGUU